rnacentral:lncRNA from 1 species
UUGUUCGGUAUCCAAAUGAAACUUACACAACACAGUUAAAAGAAAAAGUCCACAAAUAAAGAGGAUCAGAGCAUGGCUUUACGAAAAAUAGUAUGGAGGAGAUUUAGAGAAAUAUACAUGAUUUACAAUCAAUCUUUGCAGAAACAAGGUACUCAGUAUCUCUCUAUUCUUUAACCUAACCUUCUCGGAUCAAGUUGGUCGGUUCGCUCAAAACAUACUUGGGUAGUUCAUAUUUUGCAUCUUGCCGUGCAUAUUGGAGAGAGAAUUUCAAGUCUUAAUGAUAUCUACCAAGUCAAUAUGCAACCUUUCAGGAGAACAAGUUGACACCGAAACCCUAUUUUUUUUUCCCACAAUAUCCAGAUGGGUCACUGGUGAUCUUGUUCGGUAUCCAAAUGAAACUUACACAACACAGUUAAAAGAAAAAGUCCACAAAUAAAGAGGAUCAGAGCAUGGCUUUACGAAAAAUAGUAUGGAGGAGAUUUAGAGAAAUAUACAUGAUUUACAAUCAAUCUUUGCAGAAACAAGGUACUCAGUAUCUCUCUAUUCUUUAACCUAACCUUCUCGGAUCAAGUUGGUCGGUUCGCUCAAAACAUACUUGGGUAGUUCAUAUUUUGCACCUGCAAGAUGGAUUUGUAAAGCACAGCAGUAGAAAUAAGAAAGGAAAACAUAAGUUUCAACAAGAACUUCAGUAACAUAUUUAUACAAGAUGUGUUGAUACUUCAAAAAAUUAAUAAACAGCAAAG